rnacentral:rRNA from 2 species
GGGUUGUGAGGUUAAGCGACUAAGCGUACACGGUGGAUGCCCUGGCAGUCAGAGGCGAUGAAGGGCGUGCUAAUCUGCGAUAAGCGCCGGUAAGGUGAUAUGAACCGUUAUAACCGGCGAUACCCGAAUGGGGAAACCCAGUGUGACUCGUCACACUAUCAUUAACUGAAUCCAUAGGUUAAUGAGGCGAACCGGGGGAACUGAAACAUCUAAGUACCCCGAGGAAAAGAAAUCAACCGAGAUUCCCCCAGUAGCGGCGAGCGAACGGGGAGGAGCCCAGAGCCUGAAUCAGCAUGUGUGUUAGUGGAAGCGUCUGGAAAGGCGCGCG